ACACUCCUGCGGGAGGCAGCAGUGGGGAAUAUUGGACAAUGGGCGCAAGCCUGAUCCAGCCAUGCCGCGUGAGUGAUGAAGGCCCUAGGGUUGUAAAGCUCUUUCACCGGUGAAGAUAAUGACGGCAACCGGAGAAGAAGCCCCGGCUAACUUCGUGCCAGCAGCCGCGGUAAUACGAAGGGGGCUAGCGUUGUUCGGAUUUACUGGGCGUAAAGCGCACGUAGGCGGACUAUUAAGUCAGGGGUGAAAUCCCGGGGCUCAACCCCGGAACUGCCUUUGAUACUGGUAGUCUUGAGUUCGAGAGAGGUGAGUGGAAUUCCGAGUGUAGAGGUGAAAUUCGUAGAUAUUCGGAGGAACACCAGUGGCGAAGGCGGCUCACUGGCUCGAUACUGACGCUGAGGUGCGAAAGCGUGGGGAGCAAACAGGAUUAGAAACCCCUGUAGUCCCAUG
rnacentral:rRNA from 1 species